rnacentral:snRNA from 1 species
AGGUUUGCGCAGUGGCAGUAUCGUACCCAAUGAGGUUUAUCUGAGGUGUGAUUAUUGUUAAAAAAUAAUAAUAAUUUUUAAAAAUGUAUGUGCCUCAUGUGUGG